GGAGUUAGCCGGUGCUUCUUCUGUGAGUGAUGUCCUUCCUGCCGGCUAUUAACCCGCAGGCCUUCUUCCUCACUGAAAGUGCUUUACAACCCGAAGGCCUUCUUCACACACGCGGCAUGGCUGGAUCAGGGUUGCCCCCAUUGUCCAAUAUUCCCCACUGCUGCCUCCCGUAGGAGUCUGGGCCGUGUCUCAGUCCCAGUGUGGCUGAUCAUCCUCUCAGACCAGCUACGGAUCGUCGCCUUGGUGAGCCGUUACCUCACCAACCAGCUAAUCCGACAUAGGCUCAUCCGAUAGCGCGAGGCCCGAAGGUCCCCCGCUUUCCCCCGUAGGGCGUAUGCGGUAUUAGCCUGGGUUUCCCCAGGUUAUCCCCCACUACCGGGCAGAUUCCUAUGCAUUACUCACCCGUCCGCCGCUCGCCACCAGGGAGCAAGCUCCCCGUGCUGCCGCUCGACUUGCAUGUGUAGCNCGCGCACGCGUCAUCUGAGCAUAAUACAACUACUCGA
rnacentral:rRNA from 1 species